CAUCCUCGUGCGUAAACCCUCGAUAGCUCAGUCACCCUCGAUAGCUCACCAUCGUCGCCCCCCCACUCACGCUCGCCAUUGACCUCUCACUCUCGGUCUCGCCAUUCACCCUCUCACUCUUGCCAUUGACCGCCUCACUACAAGCGGAAACCCUCUCACUCUCGCCAUUGAGAGUCAUCGCCUCCCACUCACGACUCACCUGCACUACUCUCCACAUUGACCGUCGUCAUCUCCUCUUCGCCAUCGCUUGCACUGAUCGUCGCUGUGCGGCCCUCACCAUCGUCGCUGUGCGCCCCUCACCAUCGUCGCUGCACCGCUCUCACCAUCAUCAUCUCCGUGCUUCUCAUCAUCGUCUUCGCUGUGCUCACAUCAUUGAAUAGUUUGAAUUGUUUCUUGGUUAGCCAGAAACAGAAAUGGUGUGAAGAAUGUAAAGAAUGAAAAGAAGACAAGGAGUAGAGAAGAAGUAGAAGAGGAAGAAGAAAGGUGAGCUGAA